rnacentral:lncRNA from 1 species
UUGGCGUGAUGACAAUGUAUUUGGCCCUGGCAAUAGAUUACAGCUGGUCUAAACCAAUUCUCAGGAUAUCUUAAAACUAGGAGUAGCCUUAAGAUCCUGUUUUGCCAAGAAUACCUACUUGGAAGUCUAGUCAAAAGGUGAAGGCUCACUAUGUUGCCCAGGCUGGUCUUGAACUCCUGGACUCAAGGGAUUGUCUGCCUAAGGCCAUCGCACCCUGCAGGAAGCUCUUUUCAUGGAACUAUGGAAACAAACACACAAGCAAGCACAUUUGAAAGCCUUCUAACAGUUCACUGGUUGGAGAGAGUCACAUGGCUGGAGCCAAAUCCAAGAGAAGGGAGAGUGAAUAGUUUUGGAUAUUUACCUAAGACAGAGUCGCAUUCUGUCACACAGGCUGGAGUGCGGUGGCACAAUCUCGGCUCACUGCAACCUUCACCUCCAGGUUCAAAUGAUUCUCCUGCCUAAGCCUCCUGAGUAGCUGGGAUUACAGAUGGACAUUUUGCACAGUUCACUAAAGCGUCAAAACUCUAGAGUAGAAGCCCAGAGACCAUAUGACAUCUGAAAACACAGCCAUCAGAAGGGAAGAUAAUGUAAAUUUCAAGGAAGCAUAUUACUCAAAAGGGUAAAUUGUUUUCUAUUCCUGCUCAGACUUGACAUUCCUGAGUCUUCUAAUCACAUGGCUUUUGAUACCCAGACUCAUUAUGUCAGCCAUCGCCCUAGUUUGUGUUGCUAAGAAAUUUCUCUAAUUCUAGUAAGAAUAGGAUGAUUUAGUAUUAUUUGAAUUCUGUUCAAUUUAUACCUUCAUUACAGCUUUGACUCACUUUUGAUGAAGUACAUUUUACCAUUUCAUUGCAUCUUUUUUUCUAAAUGUACCUGCCUGUUUCCAUUUAAAAGAUCAUAGACUCUUAGAAGGCAGAAAUCCUUCCUCUCACAGAGUAGGCACUCACUAAAUUAGAGGCUUGGCUGAAUGAGUGAGUGAGUGAGAGGGCUAUCUUAUUCAGUUAAGUAUUAUUGUUUGUAAAUUGCUGCUGCAAAAACGCUUCCCCUUCUCCCAACAAAAAUGGAAAAAAGGUAGUGUUUCCUCAAGUCUUCUUUCAUGGAAUAUUGAUCUUAUUGGAUAUUAGUAUUUAAGUUAAAAUAAAUAAUGAAUAUUGCAAACGAAUCUAAACAAAAUCAAACACAUUUUUUAACCCCAAGACACAUCACAGCAUCUGAUAUGCUAAUACACCAAUCAUGAAUUACUUUUUCUUUUCAUUUUUCUAGUUAUUAUUUUUUUUUACUUUUAUUUCAGGUUCAGGGGUACAUGUGAAGGUUUGUUACAUAGGUAAACUAAUGUCACGGGAAUUCAUUGUGCAGAUUAUUUCAACUGGAGUUAAGCCCAGUUCAUAAUAGUUAUCUUUGCUCCUCUCCCUCUUUUCACCCUCCACCCUUGAAUAGACCCCAUUUUUUCCUUCUUUGUAUUCUUAAGUUCUCAUUAUUUAGCUCCAACUUACAAGUGAGAACAUGCAGUAUUUGGUUUUCUGUUCUGAUGUUAGUUUGCUGAGAAUAAUAGCCUCCAGCUCCAUCCAUGUUCCUGCAAAAGACAUGAUGCCAUUCUUUUUUGUGGCUGCAUAGUAUUCCAUGGUGUGUGUGUGUGUGUGUGUGUGUGUGUGUACCACAUUUCUUUAUCCAAUCUAUCACGAAUGGGCAUUUAGGUUGAUUCCAUGUCUUUGCUAUUGUGAAUAGUCCUGCCAUAAACAUUUGCAUGCAUGUGUCUUUAUGGUAGAAUGCUUUACAUUCCUGAGCAUAUACUCAGUAAUGGGAUUGCUGGGUCAAAUGGUAGUCCUGCUUUUAGCUAUUUGAGGAAUCACCAUACUGCUUUCCACAGUAGUUAAACUAAUUUACACUCCCACCAGCAGUGUAUAAAUGUUCCCUUUUCUCUGCAACCUCACCAGCAUCUGUUCUUUUCUGACUUUUUAAUAAUGGUCAUUCUGACUGGUGUGAGAUGGUGUCUCAUCAUGGUUUGAUUUGCAUUUCUCUAACACCAAUCAUGAAUUUCUAAGAAGUUUUGUAGCAUCCAAUAUUUCCAAAAUGUAUCUGAUUAUGAAACAUUUUUUGGAACAUUUGACAGGAUUAUGUUCUGGGAACUCAUUUUGGGGAGGUUGUUAUAUAUCAUUCCUGCAACAAUAAUCCACAUUUAUUCAACCUUUGGAAUGUGCCAAACACUGUGGUGUUAAUGUUAUAGAGAUAAAUAAAAGAAUGUCUGCUCCCGAGGUGCUCUUGAGCACAGGUGUACUCAGAACAGAAAAACUGUUGAGUCAGAUUGCAAGGGAUAUAAUAGAAGUGUGAACUGAGUGCCCAGGGAACAAAUUGUGGCUCACUCCAGGAAGAAGUUAGAGCUCAUUGGAGAAAGUAAGUUAAUUCAUUAGCUGCUUUUCUUAUAACAGGUGGCAUCUAGCAUCCUGAGGACAUCUGGGAUGAAGACUUUUUCUUACGAGCAAUGAAUGGAACAAGAAGAGAGGAGACAUUUGAUUGUUUCUUACAUUUUCCUGCUGCCAUUACUGCCUUUCAUCAGAUAGUGCCACUGCAAUCCUCCUUUAAGAAUGGAGAGUGGCUUAGUGGAGAAGUUCUGGACAGGAGUCAGGUGAGGACGGGCAGUGAAUAUUUUGUGCUAUUAUUCUUCCAACAUCCAUUGCCACUUCUUCUGGAGUGAAGUGGAGCUUCAGUUUUUAUUAGGAGAACCACACUUCCUCCUUGGUCCAUCCAUUCAGGUAGGCCCAUGCUACCUUCUGCUCAAGGCAUAGGCAUAUGACCUAAGCCUAGUUCAUCCGCAUAGUCCAUCUCCCUGGACAGUGAUUGGUUUAGUACUGUAAUUAAAGCCAGUGAGGCUCAAUAUUUGUUCAAAUGUGAAGAAACUCCUGUGAAAC